rnacentral:rRNA from 1 species
AACGAACGCUGGCGGCAUGCCUAACACAUGCAAGUCGAACGAGACCUUCGGGCCUAGUGGCGCACGGGUGCGUAACGCGUGGGAACCUGCCCUUAGGUAAGGAAUAACUCCCCGAAAGGGGUGCUAAUAACGGAUAAUGUCUUCGGACCAAAGAUCUACCGCCUUUGGAUGGGCCCGCGUUGGAUUAGCUAGUUGGUAGGGGAAAAGCCUACCAAGGCGACGAUCCAUAGCUGGUCUGAGAGGAUGAUCAGCCACACUGGGACUGAGACACGGCCCAGACUCCUACGGGAGGCAGCAGUAGGGAAUAUUGGACAAUGGACGAAAACCUGAUCCAGCCAUGCCGCGUGAGUGAUGAAUGCCUUAGGGUUGUACAGCUCUUUUACCCGGGAUGUUAAUGACAGUACCGGGAGAAUAAGCUCCGGCUAACUCCGUG